AUUGAACGCUGGCGGCAGGCCUAACACAUGCAAGUCGAGCGCGCGGCGGGCGGGGGAGUAAUAUGUGUGGAACUGCCCGAUGUAGGGGGGGAUCUACUGUAGACGGGAGCGCAUACCCCAUACCAUCAGAUGUGCCCAGAUGGGAUUAGCGAGUAGGUGGGGUAACGGCUCACCGAGGCGACGAUCCCUAGCUGGUCUGAGAGGAUGACCAGCCACACUGGAACUGAGACACGGUCCAGACUCCUACGGGAGGCAGCAGUGGGGAAUAUGGCACAAUGGGCGCAAGCCUGAUGCAGCCAUGCCGCGUGUGUGAAGAAGGCCUUCGGGUUGUAAAGCACUUUCAGCGGGGAGGCGUUACCCGCAGAAGAAGCACCGGCUAACUCCGUGCCAGCAGCCGCGGUAAUUC
rnacentral:rRNA from 1 species